GGCACUAUGGCGGAGUGGUUAUCGCGUGGCACUCGAAAUGCUAUUCCCCUUGGGAGCACAGGUUCGAUUCCUGUUGGUGUCG
rnacentral:tRNA from 1 species